rnacentral:rRNA from 3 species
UUGACCUCGAAUCAGGUAGGGAUACCCGCUGAACUUAAGCAUAUCA